rnacentral:snRNA from 1 species
AACUGUGCACAGUGGCAGUAUCAUAGCCAAUGAGUUUUCUCUGAGGCAUGAUUAUUGCUAAUUAAAAACUUUUCCUGCCGGGCUCGGUGGCUCAGCCUGUAAUCCCACGCCUUUGGGAGGCUGAGGUGAGUGGAUUGUCUGAGCCCGCGGGUU